AUACGGAGGGGGCUAGCGUUGUCCGGAAUUAUUGGGCGUAAAGGGCGCGUAGGCGGAAUAGUAAGUCAGAAGUGAAAAUCAUGGGCUUAACCCAUGACCUGCUUUUGAUACUGCUAUUCUCGAGUGCGAGAGAGGAAAGCGGAAUUCCCGGUGUAGCGGUGAAAUGCGUAGAUAUCGGGAAGAACACCGGUGGCGAAGGCGGCCAUCUGGACCGGAACUGACGCUGAGGCGCGAAAGCGUGGGGAGCAAACAGGAUUAGAUACCCCAGUAGUCC
rnacentral:rRNA from 1 species